rnacentral:lncRNA from 1 species
CAAAUUUCUUUAAUUCAAUAACAAAUUCAACGAAUUUCUUUAAUUCACUAACAAAUUUAACGAUUUUCUUUAAUUCACUAACAAAUGCAACGAAUUUCUCUAUUUUAAUAACAAAUUCAACUAAUUUCUUUCAUUCCAUAACAAAUUCAACAAAUUACUUUAAUUCACUAACAAAUUCAAUCAAUUUUUUGUAAUUCACUAACAAAUUCAACGAAUUUGUUUAAUUCAGUAAAAAAUUGAAUGAAUUUCUUUAAUCCACUCACAAAUUCAGCGAAUUUAUUUAAUUUAAUAACAAAUUCAACUAAUUUGUUUAAUUGACUUACAAAUUUAAUGAGUUUCUUUAAUUCACUAACAAAUUAACCUAAUUUGUCAAAUUCACUAACAAAUUCAACGCAUUACUUUAAUUCACUAACAAAUUCAACGCAUUUCUUUAAUUCAAUAAAAAUUCAACGCAUUUCUUUAAUUCAAUAAGAAAUUCAAUUAAUUUCUUUAAUUUAAUAAAAAAUUAAACUAAUUUCUUUAAUUGACUAACAAAUACGUCGACUUUUUUUAAUUCACUAACAAAUUCAACGAAUUUCUUUAAUUCACUAACAAAUUCAUCGAAUUUCUUUAAUUGACUAACAAAUUUAAUGAAUUUCUUUAAUUCACUAAAAAAUUAACCUAAUUUGUUUAAUUCACUAACAAAUUCAUCGCAUUACUUUAAGUCACUAACAAAUUCAACGCAUUUCUUUAAUUCAAUAACAAAUUCAACGCAUUAUUUAAUUCACUAACAAAUUCAACUAAUUUUUUUAAUUCAGUAACAAAUGCAACGCAUUUCUUUAAUUUAAUAAUAAAUUCAACUAAUUUCUUUAAUUCACUAACAAAUUUAAGAAAUUUCUUUAAUUCACUAACAAAUUCAGCGAAUGUGUCUAUUUUAAUAACAAAUUCAACUAAUUUCUUUAAUUGACUAACAAAUUUAAUGAAUUUCUUUAAUUCACUAACAAAUUCAACUAAUUUCUUUCAUUCAAUAACAAAUUCAAGAAAUUUCUUUAAUUCACUCACAAAUUCAACAAAAUUUUUUUCAUUCACUAACAAAUUCAACGAAUUUCUUUAAUUCACUAACAAAUUCACUGAAUAUCUUUAAUUGACUAACAAAUUCAGCGAAUUUUCUACUUAAACUUGCGCUAUCGGGAUGGGAUAAUAUCUACUAAGGUUAAGGGCGUACGCAUCAUUUUAGAUGAUGACGUAUGGACAAAUGUUGCUCAACUUCCCAUCUGGGAUGAUGCUGUCAAAGUCCAUUUAGGACUUGAAGAUUUCAACAGGAUGAUGACUUUUCAAUCUUUCCUGCGUCAUCCUGAACGCCAAACAAAUAGAAGGCAAUUACUGGUUGGAGGUUUCAAAGUUGAAGAAAGGAUGAUCCACUACUUGAUUGUCUGGAUUUUAUGUCCUAGAGCAACCAACCAUGCUCAAUGCUCCGAGCAGGAUUUACUUCUUU